UACAGAGGGGGCAAGCGUUGUUCGGAAUUACUGGGCGUAAAGGGCGCGUAGGCGGCCGCCUAAGUCAGACGUGAAAUCCCUCGGCUCAACCGGGGAACUGCGUCUGAUACUGGGUGGCUUGAAUCCGGGAGAGGGAUGCGGAAUUCCAGGUGUAGCGGUGAAAUGCGUAGAUAUCUGGAGGAACACCGGUGGCGAAAGCGGCUCACUGGGUAUUUUCUGACGCUGAUGCACGAAAGCUAGGGGAGCAAACGGG
rnacentral:rRNA from 1 species